rnacentral:miRNA from 1 species
UCACUGGGGAUCUUGUUAAAAUUCAGGUUCAGGCUCUUCAGACCUGAGAUUCUGCAUUUCUAAUAAGUUUCCAG